UGUGGUUUUCUGAAUAGAAAAGAUCCUUGUACAAGAUGCUUUUGAUCCUCCAAUUCUUUAAUAAAUGCCAAAUUAAGGAAUAGCUUCUCUCCAGACUUUUCUUUUGCAAAUAAACGAACGCGCUGACAAAUUUGGUGACCCCCGACGUGAUUUGCUGAGGAAGAAAAGGAGAAAAUUUGACGCUGUCCACUGCUGAGGUUUUUCCGGUAGGACCGGCUCUGUGUUUCUGGACUCCUCGUCACUCACCGGGAUCCCUCAAAGAAAAGGUACAGCUGGCCGAACCCGAAGCAACCAUCACCGAGACUCCAGCAGUACAGGUAGGGGAUUGGGUACGAGUGAAAGUUCACAAGAGAAAGUGGACUGAUCCCAGGUGGACAGGACCUUAUGAAGUGGUUGAGUGUACCUCCCACGCAGUCCAGGUAAAAGGAGAAGCUGGAGCAAUUUGGCACCACCUGACACAUUGUGUACCAACCCCACCACCCUUACGCACAUUAGCGGAGGUUAGAACUGAAUUGGCUGAACACGAGUAAGGGCUCUAAAAGGUAAAACUAAGAACUUGACCCAAAGAGCUGAGAAGCCCUAACUGUCAUGGCCGACCCUAGGGGUCAACCGUGGCACCCUUUUCGCCAACCAGGCCUCUGUGGCCUAAGAGGAACAAUUGGGACCAACUUCCCUAAUGGCUUGGCAGAAUAGGAUGGCUUUAGAUAUGCUGUUGGCAGAAAAGGGCGGACUUUGCAAAAUGUUUGGGGAU